CUUCAUGGAUUUAUAUGAAGUCGGGCCUGUCCACUGAAAAUGUUUUGAAGGGCCGCGGUAUUUUGACCGUGCAAAGGUAGCAUAAUCAUUAGUCUUUUAAUUGAAGGCUGGAAUGAAUGGUUUGACGAAAUAAUAGCUGUCUCCAAUAUAAUUAUAUUGAAUUUUACUUUUGAGUUAAAAGGCUUAAAUGUUAAUAAGGGACGAGAAGACCCUAUAGAUCUUUAUGUUGUAAUUUAUAUUAUUAAUUUUAGUUGUUAAUUUUAUUUUAUAAUUUACAUUAUUUUAUUGGGGUGAUAUGAGAAUAUAAUAACUUCUUAAUUAGGUACUUUGAUAAAUGAUUAAUUGAUCCUUUAAUAUGGAAUGAAGAUUAAGAUACCUUAGGGAUAACAGCGUAAUUUUAUUGAAGAGUUCUUAUUGAUAAUAAAGAUUGCGACCUCGAUGUUGGAUUAAAAGUAUAUAUUGGUGUAGAAGCUAAUAUAAUUAGUCUGUUC
rnacentral:rRNA from 1 species